rnacentral:rRNA from 1 species
AACGAACGCUGGCGGCAGGCCUAAUACAUGCAAGUCGAACGCGAAAGGGACUUCGGUCCUGAGUAAAGUGGCGCACGGGUGAGUAACGCGUGGGAAUCUACCCAGUAGUACGGAAUAUGCGCGGGAAACUGCGUGCAAUACCGUAUACGCCCUCCGGGGGAAAGAUUUAUUGCUAUUGGAUGAGCCCGCGUGACAUUAGCUAGUUGGUAAGGUAACGGCUUACCAAGGCGACGAUGUUUAGCUGGUCUGAGAGGAUGACCAGCCACACUGGGACUGAGACACGGUCCAGACUCCUACGGGGGGCAGCAGUAGUGAAUAUUGGGCAAUGGGCGAAAGCCUGACCCAGCCAGGCCGCGUGAGUGAUGAAGGCCUUAGGAUUGUAAAGCUCUUUCGGUGGUGACGAUAAUGACGGCAACCACAGAAGAAGCCCCGGCUAACUUCGUGCCAGCAGCCGCCGUAA